CGCUCGGCAUUCGCGGGGAUUCGGCGCAGGGGGAGCCUCGCUCCGUGUCGGGAGAGCGGCGAGGAGAGGUGCCGCCGAGGCCCAGUCAGCCCCGGCUGGGCCGGCUCCUGUGGUGUCCCUCAUCCCCGGGCGGGAAGCAGCCCGGCGCCUCGCCGGGCCUCUGCCCCAGCAGCCCGGCGGGGCUGCUUAAUAGAGGGUUUUCCGCUCGCCGGCGUGGCGCAGCCCCGCCGGGUUUCCCUCCAGGCCGGCGGCGUGGCGAGCGCUCCCCGCCCUCCCACAGCCGCCCGGCCCGUCUGGUCCCGGCGCUUUGCCCCGCGGCUGCUGCGAGGUGGCGAGCUGCCUCCUCUCUUAGUGGCGGGAGCUGCUGUUAGCUUCGGCUUCGGCCAGUCCCUCGGGUACCUGAUUCACCUCUUCAGAGGGCUAGGAAUGGCUCUUUGCUCCUCUUUUCCUCUGGUAGUCCUUAAAGGCCGCAUCUGAGCACCCUCAUCUGCUCUAACUGCUCAGCCCUGUUUUCUGCUGGGAUCACCAGGCUCAUCUCAGCCCCGGAGCCAAAGCCCUCAAUUGUCUCCCAACACAGCCAGAUGCUGCUGGCUUCCACCGUGCUGUUAAGACAAGUAAACAGAGGUGAAUCUGUGCUUUAUACAAAGUUUUAGACACAUGCUGCAAGUGCUUAGCUGAUGAUGAAACGUUACGACAGUAAGCAAACGUAUUAGCUAGCAGCUACAGCAAUGUGGGAUUGGAGAUGCUGUCCGCCAAGGCUGAACCAGAAUAAGGAAUGAAAAUCUGUGUUCUGGCAAGGUUACCGCUUAGCUGCAGUAGCACAAAGUUGGAAUUGAUGGAGACUUUUGUUUUCAUUUUAUUGUUAAAUAGGUGGGACGCUUCCCUCCAGAGCUUUUUGCAUCCUUAAAGAAAAUACAGUGUGUAAAUGAUUUCUGUGUCCCAAGGAAUCUGAGGCUUUGGCAGGGGGAAACACAGUAGAGAAGCGUGGCUUGUGUUUGCAGGCGCCGGAGCGCUCUUUGGGGCAUAGGGGCUUGUUUGAUAGUAGCUUUCAGGACAGCUCUGGGCAAGUCGCUUGGAGGAGACUGUGGGAAAUAAUAGUUGUAGUUAUUUUAAGGAGCUUGGGAGUUUGCACAGCAGACUGGUAUGAAAGAGGAAAAAGGAUAUGGGGUGUGGCUGGAGCAAUCUGAGAAGCAGCCAUGCCUUGGGAAAAGUUCUGCACUGACCUUUACGGGGGAUCAUUGUUAAUUUCUGUGUUAAUAACACUGUAACACCCAGGUGGGGAGGAGUUUGGCCUCCAUGCUGGGUCUGUGUGGGAAGAGCCGUUUGGGAGUGGUGUAUAUUCUCUCCAAAUAAUUCAGUUGCACGGAAAGGCAUGGAGUCACCGGACUCAGCUUUUUCUGGGUGCUGCUUCUUCCUGUGCAGCCUGGCACUGCAUUGGCUUCUGCUGCAAAUCAGAGGGCACUGGGGUGGCCUGUGGGACACUGCUGUACCUGCACUUUCUCAGAAUUUGGUUCUGCGUUGUGUGCAACGAAGAAGAAACUGUUCUUGGUUUGUCACUGGACCUGUCUUUGUGGUAACAGAGAUGGCUCCGGAUUUCCCAGUGGAACAACGCAGGCUGCUUUUUUUAUCUUUUGGAAACUCGGGGGCAAAGUCAGAGGGAAGAAAUAGGCCAGGGACAGAUGGCUGAUGCAAGCGUGCUUUGGGGCAAGAAAAGGUAGCAGGGAACAGCAGAGCAAGGAGAAGUGAGACCAUUAACAAGAGUAAUUCCUGGUGGCAACCAGUGGGAGCUGCAGCAGUGUAUCAGUCUCCUUACAGCUGUGAAAGCCUGAUCUUCCUUUUCAUCUAGGUGUAAUAGAUUACUCCAAAAUUAGACUCCUUCCUUUUUCCAGUAACCAAGUCUUUCAUUCUGCAGAGCCUUUUCUGUUCCUGUGAGCUUGCCUGGCUGUAACCAGCAUGCUCUACGCUAUGUAGUGGUGCAGGAAAUCUUCUGUUGUAAACACCUCAAGAGCAGGACACCAGAGUAGUUUUAUUGGCCUAACUAACCAGGCUGGCUGGAGUUAAAAUUGCUCAGUUGUUUAUUUACACAUGUAUGCAGCAAGCGGUUAGUACAUUAGAGAGUGUAAAUGAGUAACUUGGAAAAAUCACAGAAUCGUGUUUGAGCAGGAUUGUCCUUCCUAAAUUGCUAAUUUGUGUAAGUAUUUUUCCAUUAAAAGUUCCUGAGUUGCCUCCAUCUUUUUGUUUAGAACAGUCAAAUUAAUAAUAAAUGUCUGCUUAAAGACUACCAAUUGCACCAUGCAUGAAGUAGAAAAAAUACAACAAUGCUAAGACUUUGCCCUUUUAAUGUCUUUAAUUGGAAGAUCUCAGAAGUUUGUCUGUUAGGAAUUCCGCCAACUGACGGCCAUCCUUGACUGUUAGAGUUGGGCAAUUCAGGCAUUUAGGAUGCCUGAUCGCAAGAUGUUAAGGAUUUGUGCAAGGUCACAAGGACGGCCUGCGUCAGACACACAUGGUGACCAUGAACAUUUUAAGCUCUUGGGACAAAACCGGUAUCUUGCUCUGUGUGCAGUGCAUAGCGGAGAUCUUACAGCAGUCAAAGUCCAUAAGCUUUGCUAGAAUGAAAAGAAAAAUAUAUUCCAUUGAGUAACAAUAAAAUUAUACUGAUGUCAAAUAAACACUGCUAACAGAACGAUUAACUGCUUCCGUGUCUGACGAGUCACGUUCUUCUUACAGAAGCAGUUCACGUCUCUGAAUUUUUCGUGAGUGGGAAACAGCCUUCUAGACUGCUAGUUCAAUUUUCAUGAUGAUUUAAAAAGCAAACAAAUGUUCCCGGCAAGAAAAAUGGGCACCAUACAAAGUAAAAGGAUUACUGAAAACGAGAAAAGAACAGGUAAGGUAUGUCAGCAUCCUCGAGGCCCAUUUAUUCUUCUUUGUUGUAAAUUACAGGUCUACCCAUUAACAUCUCAAACAGAACUGGAAAAUUAAGGCCAACAGAACUUGUACUUGCUGAGCUGCUUUGCAGGGUAUUUGAUCCAGUCCUCAGAGUGCUACAGCAGGUUCCUUGUGCUCAGUGCGAGCCUGGUUUCAUCUGUCUGUAACUGCUCUCUUCCAGCGGGCCCGGCUGGAGGGAGAGCAGAGGAGAGUCCACCCUGGAGAACAAGAUCCAGUGCAGCCUUUGGAAUGACAGAGUACACAGAGCUGGCGAUGGCCUCCUCUCCCCUUUCCAUGAGCAUCUCUUUGCUGUAUUUUGUGAUCUCAAGUAGCAGGGAAGCUCAGCUGUCCAGAAGAACUUCAAAAAUGUUUUUAGCAGCAGUGAUCCAGUAUGUGUUGUUCAGGAAACAUCUCCUGUAUGGCUCCCCACUCUACAGUCAGUGCUGCUACUUCUGAUUUAGGAUUAAUGAACGUUUCCUCUAAGGUAAAGAAAAUGUGCUCCUGCAAUUUAACAGUUCAGAAGCUGCAGCUCUUCCAUUCAUGCAAGCCCUGCUGGCAACAGGAGCGCGGCAGCAAGUCACCAGGUCCCUGUGCCCGCACCUCUGUCCUGCCUGUUUUCAACUGAGCAGGCCGCAUGAAAAAGUGGGUUUUCAGGUCUGGGACUAGGGCUGCAUCCAGCGCCUGCUGCGAUGAGGCCCUCAGUUCAGACCCAAAGAACCCAUCCAAAUCUCACCGUCACAAGAAACAGAAAAAGGAUUUCAGAAUACACCAACUGCGUCCCGCAGCACAAGGGAAUGACCUUCGAACAACUUGAGGCAGGUUGAAUUUACAUUUUACUUCAAAAAAAAAAGGGGGGGGGGAAGUACAUACAUGAGGGGAAAAUGGGGUGAACAACAAUCAUCUGAAACCGGGUUUCUACCAUUUUUACCUACAGUUACCAACUGCAUUUGAAUCAGCAGGGCUCUUGCCAGCUGUCGCACACUUGCUUACAGUAUGAAUAGGAUUGUGGAUCAAGGAAACAUUUUCAAAGUUGAGGCCCAAAUGGAAAUAGUAAGAUAUCAUACACAGUGUAAGUUUAUAGUACACAGCAUUUUUUUUUUUUUUAAAUGACGUAACGCAACAGCAGGAAGGAGUAGUAGUAGUAGUUAACAGUUACUAACACUAGAAUAAUCAAAUUUGUAUGUUAUACAUAUACAGCAACUAACUGCUUUACAAAAAAAGCAAAAUAAUACAAUAUAUUGUCACAUGUAUUUACAGUGUAGUAAAUAUACUUUUCUGUCAAAUUUUACACAAAAACUAUUUACAGGUGAAUAUACUGCAUUAAAAAAAAAAUUGUGGGACCAACACUAAAAGUGACUUUCUGUGGUAAGUUUGUUGCAUAACAAUAAGACGUGCUUCAUUACAUUUGAAAAAAAUUAACCUUAGAAUGAAACCGAAAAAGCCCUAAAACCUACAACCCAGUUAGGAAUAGAGCACUGGAAUGCUCCCAGGUGCUCAGUCCACAAUACUUAUUUGAAACGUUUCCUGUUCUUGGAAACCUCAUGCACAUUAAAGCAGAAACAUUGGCAUAAUUAACAGGUAGGUUAUGCACUAUUCAAAUACUACUGAGUUAUCUUUAAGUCAGGGAAAAUACAAACACAAACAAAAUGUUAAUCAUCUUUACAGUACUUAACUGUAGUUAGUGCGAAAUGGGUAACGUGUUCUAAAACAGGGGUGUCAAACAUACAAUCCCCAUGAUGUCGUUACAUGGUCCACGUGUUAAGAUCAGAUUUUUCUGAAUCUAAGUUUUCAUUUCAAAGUACACAGACUCCACAGCUGCAGAACCAGACUUCAAGAAGCGACUCGAGCAGCCGACGCAGCAGUGACUGCCUGGUGGUCUGCAGGCUGCCUGAAACAGCGACUCGAAGGUGGGAACUCUCUUAGAUCAGUCUCCCACUCGUUAGAUCAGGUUUCAAGCCCACAUCGUCACCAGCAACCACCUGCUGAUCACUAGGAGCGUAAAUGGAGUAAUGGGAUGAGGAGGGAACGGAAGCAGGCUGGACUGGGAACCAAGAGCGGUGCUCACGGGAAUGAAACGGAGCAGGAUGGAGAAUAUUCAAAACGGGGAAUGAGAACAAAUAAGGGAGGGUGCGAGAAAGGACACAACAAGGCAAAAUAACAGCCACGGCUGUUAGAGGGUGCAGGCGAAGUGAUGAAUGUGACAGUAAGGCACUGAACAACUAACUAAUUACUAAUAGAAGUUUAAUCAUUCAAGAAAGGCCGUGUUUUCCCCCUUGAUCUAAGCACAAGCUUCCCAACUGCUGGUACUGGGAGAGAACGUUCCUGUGUAUCGGGGCGCCUGUGAUCCUGAAUUAAACCUUGGCCAUCGACUGUAAUUACACCCAAAUUCAGCCCCCAUUACCUAACAUGUUUGACACCCCUGCUCUAAGAAAGUUCAGGUCCUCUCACUGAACCAUGCAGUGAAAAUAUUAAAUGACUCCCCCUCCUUCCAGGAAAUAGAAUAAAUUAAAUUUUGUUGACUGACUUCAUGAAGAUAUCAGUUUUUUUCAGCUGGGACUGAGAGCCCAGAGUAAUUCUAGUUCUCACAUGAAAGGUAAUUUUAGUCACUGUCCAUUUUGAUUCCAUAUCAUGUAUUUCAAAGACUGCAUUAAUUCUAAUUUAGGGACGCUUUUUUUCUAUAGACAAUGGAAAAUGUUGACAGAGUUGCUCUCAAAUGCACCCAGUCCAAACAAAACUGAUUUGGUAGUUCAUCUGGAAUUACUAUUUCUGUUUAAAGAAAA